UAGGGAAUCUUCGGCAAUGGGGGGAACCCUGACCGAGCAACGCCGCGUGAGUGAAGAAGGUUUUCGGAUCGUAAAGCUCUGUUGUAAGAGAAGAACGGGUGUGAGAGUGGAAAGUUCACACUGUGACGGUAUCUUACCAGAAAGGGACGGCUAACUACGUGCCAGCAGCCGCGGUAAUACGUAGGUCCCGAGCGUUGUCCGGAUUUAUUGGGCGUAAAGCGAGCGCAGGCGGUUAGAUAAGUCUGAAGUUAAGGGCUGUGGCUUAACCAUAGUAUGCUUUGGAAACUGUUUAACUUGAGUGCAGAAGGGGAGAGUGGAAUUCCAUGUGUAGCGGUGAAAUGCGUAGAUAUAUGGAGGAACACCGGUGGCGAAAGCGGCUCUCUGGUCUGUAACUGACGCUGAGGCUCGAAAGCGUGGGGAGCAAACA
rnacentral:rRNA from 1 species